AUGCGUGUGAUUGGCUGAGGAACAGGCGAAGCCCUCGAUCACGUUGCGACCGGAGAAGCAGCGGCGCAGGCGGCGAUGGGGAUUAGUGAUAGCCUUUGUGUUGAUAAUCCACGACCUUUUCCGCAUUCUUUACUCAUAAUCUGUUGUUUUUUUCAGUGUUUUUGUCGGAUUUUUUAGAUCUUUGGAAGCUAAAAACCCUCACUUUCUUCCGAAGUUUGUCUAAUCGUCUUGUCGAUUUUUGAUCCUUUGCGUAAUGUAGAUUGGUUGAGGAGCAGGCAAAACCCUUGAUCGUGUUGCAGCUAGAGGAAGCAACAGCGAAAGUGGUGAAGGCGAUCAACGAUCGCCUUUGAGUUGUUUGUCUCCUUUUGAGGCAUUUUUUUGUGCAACAUGAAAUUCAAAAAGGGGAUUCUGCUAUCAUUGCGAUUGACUCUCGUUCUUUGUGUUGCUAUUGGCUGAGGAGCAGGUGAAGCCAUCGAUCGUAUUGUGGCUGGAAGAGCAGCGACGCAAACGGCGAUGGUGAGCAGCGACGCAAACGGCGAUGGUGAGCAGCGACGCAAGCGGCGAUGGCGAUCAGCGCCAUUGUGUUGGUAAAUCCACAACUUUUUCCGCAUUCUUUACUCAAAUAUUUACUGCUUUUUUCAGUUUGCUUAGAUCUCUGGAAGCUAAAACCCCUCAGUUUCUUCCAAAUUUUGUCCCCUUUGAGGCAUUUUUAUGCAACAGGAAGCUCAAAUGGGGAUUCUGCUAUCGUUGGGAUUGACUCUUGUUCUUUGUGAUGCUGUAAAAUAUCGUCUUGUCGAUUUUUGAUCCUCUGUGUAAUGUAGAUUUGUAGAUUGCUGAAAUCACUAGAAUAUGCCUGGCCGAUCGCGAUGGUGAUGACUGGGAAGGGAAGUUGUUCUUCCCUGGCAUCCCCAAGAUUAAGUGUUAGCAUCAGUAUCAAUUCCACUCUAGGUCGUAGGUGUUGCUACAGGGACAUUAGAUAUUCAUCCCUCUAGUGCUUUUCUUGAUCCUCCACCUCGAACUAGUCAAAGUCAUUUUAUUGGAUCACCAUUAUUCAAGUCAUCCUUGAGUUGACCAACCCGUCGAGUUAGUCCAAGCGGCUGAGCUAGCCUGAGCUGUUGAAUUGUGUUACCCGGACAAAAGUGUCUCCAACACUCAUAAUCUAUAAUUGGCUGUGUGGGUUUGGAAGUGUGAGGUUAUAUAAAUAGCACAAAUAAUAGUGAAAAAGAAUAUAUCUUUUACACUAAUCCAAAUCUAACUUUCUUCAUCUUAAUUUUUUUUAAAAAUCUUUUUCCUUGGAUCCCCUGCGAUUACUCAAGCAUUGGAGGGAUGUCAUCGGGGCAACUUUAGUUGUUAGUUCAACAUUUAUAUGCGGUGCGGUGAUAGCCCCGUCUCAUCAUACGUAUGAGGGUCCAUCGAACAAAAAUCCUCUUUCUUUUAGGAGGUGAUUCUUGGGAAGAAAAUGAAGGGGAUUGAUAUCCAGCGUGCCACAUUGCCGCACGAUUUAUCGAAUCCACACUGUUUGGAUCAACACCGACGAUUCUCUCCUACAAUAUUUUUUUUUAUAUAGCAGAUGUCUUUUGUAUCUCUGAUCUCUUUAGAGUUUGUGUAUUUUAUUGUAGCACAAUACAAGGGUUUGAUUCACUCA